UACGGAGGGUGCGAGCGUUGUCCGGAAUCAUUGGGCGUAAAGGGCGCGUAGGUGGCUUCUUAAGCGUGCGGUGAAAGCCUGGGGCUCAACCCCGGGUCGGCCGUGCGAACUGGGGGGCUGGAGCACUGUAGAGGCAGGCGGAAUUCCGGGUGUAGCGGUGGAAUGCGUAGAGAUCCGGAAGAACACCGGUGGCGAAGGCGGCCUGCUGGGCAGUUGCUGACACUGAGGCGCGGCAGCGUGGGGAGCAAACAGG
rnacentral:rRNA from 1 species